rnacentral:lncRNA from 1 species
UCAUAAUCAUAUAUGUCUUGAAAGCAUUCAUCAUUUGGAGGUGUGCAUCAUCAUUUGAGCAUAGUUCUCUUGGCUUUGGUUGUGAGUAUUUACAAUUUGAUUGUACUUCUCUUGGCUUUGAUUGUGAGCAUUUACAAUCUGAUUGUACUUCUCUUCGCAUUUGGACGAACAUGAACCAUUAUCACAACUGGAAGAAUUUAUACCUCCAAAAAGACGUCUUGUUUGUCUAAAAACUUUACUCGGGAUAGCUCCUAACCCCAAGCACCAUACUCUUUAAAACGAUGUCUUGUUUGUCUAAAAACUUUACUCGGUAUGGCUCCUAACCCCAAGCACCUUACCCUUCCAGAAUGCUCUUUUCCUAACACCAUACCAACAACAUCAUUUGGUGAAACUUCGGACUCAUCUGUGGCGCUUUGACUUAC